rnacentral:rRNA from 1 species
ACAUGCUUACAACAUAGCGUUAAUGCACAUGAUCCGAUUAGAACUCCGUAGUUAAGUGCACUCAGGCUAGAGUAGUAUUGGGAUGGGUGAUCACCCGAGAAGUCCUAGUGUUUGACAUGCC